AGUGAACGCUGGCGGUAUGCCUAACACAUGCAAGUCGAACGGCAGCACAGUAAGCGCUUUCUCUUACUGUUGGCGAGUGGCGGACGGGUGAGGAAUACAUCGGCAUCUCCUUUUUCGUGGGGGAUAACGUAGGGAAACUUACGCUAAUACCUCAUACGACCUACGGGUGAAAUCAGGAGAUCUUCGUACCUUGCGCGAUUGAAUGAGCCGAUGUCGGAUUAGCUAGUUGGCGGGGUAAAGGCCCACCAAGGCGACGAUCCGUAGCUGGUCUGAGAGGAUGAUCAGCCACACUGGAACUGAGACACGGUCCAGACUCCUACGGGAGGCAGCAGUGGGGAAUAUUGGACAAUGGGCGCAAGCCUGAUCCAGCCAUACCGCGUGGGUGAAGAAGGCCUUCGGGUUGUAAAGCCCUUUUGUUGGGAAAGAAAAGCAGCAGGUUAAUACCCGGAUGUUCUGACGGUACCCAAAGAAUAAGCACCGGCUAACUUCGUG
rnacentral:rRNA from 1 species